rnacentral:misc_RNA from 1 species
UACGGAGGGUGCAAGCGUUGUCCGAAAUUACUGGGUGUAAAGGGUGUGCAGGCGGAGCAGUAAGUCAGUGGUGAAAGCCGGCGGCUCAACCGUCGAAUUGCCUCUGAUACUGCUGUUCUUGAGUCCCGGAGAGGCCAUUGGAAUUCGUGGUGUAGCGGUGAAAUGCGUAGAUAUCACGAGGAACACCAGAAGCGAAGGCGAAUGGCUGGACGGUGACUGACGCUCAGGCACGAAAGCGUGGGGAGCAAACAGG